rnacentral:rRNA from 1 species
AGUUUGAUUAUGGCUCAGAUUGAACGCUGGCGGCAGGCCUAACACAUGCAAGUCGAACGGUAACAGGAAGAAGCUUGCUCUUGCUGACGAGUGGCGGACGGGUGAGUAAUGUCUGGGAAACUGCCUGAUGGAGGGGAUAACUACUGGAAACGGUAGCUAAUACCGCAUAACGUCGCAAGACCAAAGAGGGGGACCUUCGGGCCUCUUGCCAUCGGAUGUGCCCAGAUGGGAUUAGCUUGUUGGUGGGGUAACGGCUCACCAAGGCGACGAUCCCUAGCUGGUCUGAGAGGAUGACCAGCCACACUGGAACUGAGACACGGUCCAGACUCCUACGGGAGGCAGCAGUGGGGAAUAUUGCACAAUGGGCGCAAGCCUGAUGCAGCCAUGCCCGCGUGUAUGAAGAAGGCCUUCGGGUUGUAAAGUACUUUCAGCGGGGAGGAAGGGAGUAAAGUUAAUACCUUUGCUCAUUGACGUUACCCGCAGAAGAAGCACCGGCUAACUCCGUGCCAGCCGCCGC